AUGCUUACUCUCAAACAUUUUGUUUAUAUAGUAGUGAUAUUCUUUGUUUCACUCUUUAUCUUUGGAUUCUUAUCUAAUGACCCAGGACAAAAUCCUGGAUGCGAGGAGUAA
rnacentral:rRNA from 1 species